UACGAAGGGGGCUAGCGUUGCUCGGAAUCACUGGGCGUAAAGCGCACGUAGGCGGCUUACUAAGUCAGGGGUGAAAUCCUGGAGCUCAACUCCAGAACUGCCUUUGAUACUGGUGAGCUUGAGUCCGGAAGAGGUGAGUGGAACUGCGAGUGUAGAGGUGAAAUUCGUAGAUAUUCGCAAGAACACCAGUGGCGAAGGCGGCUCACUGGUCCGGUACUGACGCUGAGGUGCGAAAGUGUGGGGAGCGAACAGG
rnacentral:rRNA from 1 species